GUUGCCGAGGAGCGUUGCGACCCUGGCCAUCGGAGCCCGGGCCAGGCUCGGCGGCGGGGUCGACACGACAACGGCGCUCACUCACG
rfam:Thiocapsa sp. KS1 genome assembly, scaffold: THKS1_scaffold1